rnacentral:rRNA from 1 species
GCAUAUCAAUAAGCGGAGGAAAAGAAAACCAACCGGGAUUGCCUCAGUAACGGCGAGUGAAGCGGCAAGAGCUCAAAUUUGAAAGCUGGCUCCUUCGGGGUCCGCAUUGUAAUUUGCAGAGGAUGCUUUGGGUGCGGCCCCCGUCUAAGUGCCCUGGAACGGGCCGUCAGAGAGGGUGAGAAUCCCGUCUGGGAUGGGGUGUCCGCGCCCGUGUGAAGCUCCCUUCGACGAGUCGAGUUGUUUGGGAAUGCAGCUCUAAAUGGGUGGUAAAUUUCAUCUAAAGCUAAAUACUGGCCGGAGACCGAUAGCGCACAAGUAGAGUGAUCGAAAGAUGAAAAGCACUUUGAAAAGAGAGUUAAAAAGCACGUGAAAUUGUUGAAAGGGAAGCGCUUGCGACCAGACUCGCCUCCGGGGUUCAGCCGGCAUUCGUGCCGGUGUACUUCCCUGGGGGCGGGCCAGCGUCGGUUUGGGCGGCCGGUCAAAGGCUCCCGGAAUGUAGUGCCCUUCGGGGCACCUUAUAGCCGGGAGUGCAAUGCGGCCAGCCUGGACCGAGGAACGCGCUUCGGCACGGACGCUGGCAUAAUGGUCGCAAACGACCCGUCUUGAAACACGGACCAAGGAGUCUAACAUCUACGCGAGUGUUCGGGUGUCAAACCCGUACGCGCAGUGAAAGCGAACGGAGGUGGGAGCCCCCUCGCGGGGCGCACCAUCGACCGAUCCUGAUGUCUUCGGAUGGAUUUGAGUAAGAGCGUAAAUGUGGGGACCCGAAAGAUGGUGAACUAUGCCUGAAUAGGGCGAAGCCAGAGGAAACUCUGGUGGAGGCUCGCAGCGGUUCUGACGUGCAAAUCGAUCGUCAAAUUUGGGUAUAGGGGCGAAAGACUAAUCGAACCAUCUAGUAGCGGUUCUGG